UACGUAGGGUGCAAGCGUUGUCCGGAAUUAUUGGGCGUAAAGAGCUCGUAGGCGGUCUGUCGCGUCGGCUGUGAAAACCCGGAGCUCAACUCCGGGCCUGCAGUCGAUACGGGCAGACUGGAGUUCGGCAGGGGAGACUGGAAUUCCUGGUGUAGCGGUAAAAUGCGCAGAAUAUCAGGAGGAACACCGGUGGCGAAGGCGGGUCUCUGGGCCGAUGACUGACGCUGAGGAGC
rnacentral:rRNA from 1 species